AAACACGAACGUUUUUAAGAUGAAAUUAAACAAACAGACCGACGAAAAUCGAUAAAUUAUUACUGGAAUGGGAAAUGCAUAAAUGAUCAUGGGCACCGAUCCAGCAGCUGGAAGAACCUAGUCGAUCAAGAUCCAGCAGGGUUCUUCCUCCUCGACGUCGAUCAUGGGCGCUGCCGGCCCGGCCCGUUGAACAGAAACGGGUCCAGCCAGCUCGCCUCGAUCGUCCACCGGGUCAGUCAUGCUGGGCGCACCUGCGUUGUUGGCAACGAGUCACAGCACCGUCAGGUGGAGCAUACCCAUGCAGCUCCUCAUCAGGUCGACGUCGUCCUGGCUGUCGUCCACGUGUGUUGCGGCUGCUGCUAUUUGUUCUUCUUCUUGUUCGCCGGCGAGCACUCCGAUCCGGGACCGGGCCGGCUUCCUGGAGGCCGUGCCAGCCAUCGUCGUCGGCACCUGAAAGGGAUUCAUCACCGGCGAUGGAGACUUCCGCUUGGCCACGAGUCAAGUGAUGCGUGGAGCUUCAUGUGUGCGUGCGUGCGUGCGCGCUCGCGUGUGUUUUCUCUGCCUAGCUUGUGUUUGCUUGCUUGCAUGUGUGUAAACGGCGUGCCUAGCUUGAAUGCAAUCAAAUUCAUUUUCAUCAUCAGAAAUCAAGUCAACAUGAAAGACCUUCUCAUAAUUUACACCAGCAUACUCAAUUUCAUCGUUUUUCCCCCAAGGAUCAUCAUCUGUAGGGUUUUCCUCAGUCCCAGAUUUAAUAACAGGAUCAAAGAGAUCUGCCAGGGUGGUACAUGCGCUCUGUUGUGUGGGUUGUGCAUGCGAAUCUGCUACUACACAAGAAACAUAAUGUAUGCUCUGUUCUAUGGGCGGCUGAUGAAUGACAAGCCCGAGCCUACAAGCACAGAUGUAAUCAACUCCUAUAAGGAUAUUGCUAAAGCCCAAAUAUAUAUCUAACGAACCCUAGGCCCCCAAAUCUCAUGAACCCAUGCCAUGUUCUGAACCCUAGAUCCUCAAAUCACUUGGGGGAAAUUUGAAUCUUACCCGUCAGGAACCCAGGAUAGGUUUGACACCUUCUAUGGGGAGUCAUCGCUGCAUAGUCGCUCCACUCCAAGACCGGGGAACGGGGACCAAGUCGCAACCAUCGGGCCUGGUCUCUUAGUGCAGCUCGCGGAUGGGGAGAACUUGCCAGAGCUAAGUUGCAUCAGUGGCAGGAGGCAUGGUGUGUGUGAUUGGUGGCGGUCGGUGAAGAGUCGUCGGAGAUUAUGGCAAGCCGAGAAAAAUUGCAGAGGCGGCAGCGAGAUUUUUUACGGAUGGUGCCGUGAAUAAUCUGGAUAGGAUGCAGC
rnacentral:lncRNA from 1 species